UACGAAGGGGGGCUAGCGUUGCUCGGAAUACUGGGCGUAAAGCGCGUGUAGGCGGCCCGGUAAGUCCGCUGUGAAAGUCGGGGGCUCAACCCUCGAAUGCCGGUGGAUACUGUCGGGCUAGAGUGCGGGAGAGGCGAGUGGAAUUCCUGGUGUAGCGGUGAAAUGCGCAGAUAUCAGGAGGAACACCAAUUGCGAAGGCAGCUCGCUGGAACGUAACUGACGCUGAGACGCGAAAGCGUGGGGAGCAAACAGGAUUAGAU
rnacentral:rRNA from 1 species